AUUGAACGCUGGCGGCAGGCCUAACACAUGCAAGUCGAGCGGAUGAAGGGAGCUUGCUCCUGGAUUCAGCGGCGGACGGGUGAGUAAUGCCUAGGAAUCUGCCUGGUAGUGGGGGAUAACGUCCGGAAACGGGCGCUAAUACCGCAUACGUCCUGAGGGAGAAAGUGGGGGAUCUUCGGACCUCACGCUAUCAGAUGAGCCUAGGUCGGAUUAGCUAGUUGGUGGGGUAAAGGCCUACCAAGGCGACGAUCCGUAACUGGUCUGAGAGGAUGAUCAGUCACACUGGAACUGAGACACGGUCCAGACUCCUAAGGGAGGCAGCAGUGGGGAAUAUUGGACAAUGGGCGAAAGCCUGAUCCAGCCAUGCCGCGUGUGUGAAGAAGGUCUUCGGAUUGUAAAGCACGUUAAGUUGGGAGGAAGGGCAGUAAGUUAAUACCUUGCUGGUUUGACGUUACCAACAGAAUAAGCACCGGCUAACUUCGUG
rnacentral:rRNA from 1 species